rnacentral:rRNA from 1 species
CCUACGGGAGGCAGCAGUAAGGAAUAUUGGACAAUGGUGGCAACACUGAUCCAGCCAUGCCGCGUGCAGGAUGACGGUUCUAUGAAUUGUAAACUGCUUUUAAUACGGGAAAAAACCCCUCAAGACGUGAUUUUGAGCUGAUUGUACCGUAAGAAUAAGGAUCGGCUAACUUCGUGCCAGCAGCCGCGGUAAGACGAAGGAUCCAAGCGUUAUCCGGAUUUAUUGGGUUUAAAGGGUACGUAGGCGGACUCAUAAGUCAGUGGUGAAAUCCCAAAGCUUAACUUUGGAACUGCCAUUGAUACUGUAAGUCUUGAGUAUGUUUGAAGUGGGCGGAAUGUAUUGUGUAGCGGUGAAAUGCUUAGAUAUAAUACAGAACACCAAUUGCGAAGGCAGCUCACUAAACCAUAACUGACGCUGAGGCACGAAAGCAUGGGGAGCAAACAGGAUUAGAUACCCUGGUAGUCCAUGCCCUAAACGAUGAAUACUCGAUAUGUGNGAUAUANAUAGUGUGUAGAGAAGAGAUAAGUAAUUACUAACCGUCGGUAGGUUAGACGUCGCGAGAAGAGAACGACGAAGAAGUUAGAGGACGAGAGAGAGCGACGGACGACGACGAGGAGGAGG